GCCAGUGUGAUGUAGUGGCUUCAACAUUAAGACUACAACUCUGGAGACCAGAGUUCGAAUCCCGGCUUGGCCA
rnacentral:tRNA from 1 species